GCCUUAUGGUCUAGUCGCAUGAUUCCUUGUUUGGGUGCCCAGCCGUUAACUCGUAUCGAGGAGGUCCUGGGUUCAAUUCCCAGUGGGGGCC